rnacentral:rRNA from 1 species
UAAUCACUUGUCUUCUAAAUAAAGACUAGUAUGAACGGCUAAAUGAGGACAAACCUGUCUCUUAUAGCUAAUCAGUGAAACUGAUCUCCCAGUACAAAAGCUGGAAUAAACACAUAAGACGAGAAGACCCUGUGGAGCUUAAAACAACCGCUAAUAAGCACCACUAAUGCCCCUAGCCCGUAGUUUUAAGUUGGGGCGACUUCGGAAUAAAACAAAACUUCCGAGCACAGAACCACCACUUCUCACCAAGGCUGACAAGCCAAAGUAAAAGCCGACCCAGUCAUACUGACCAACGAACCAAGUUACCCCAGGGAUAACAGCGCUAUCUUCUUCAAGAGUCCCUAUCGACAAGAAGGUUUACGACCUCGAUGUUGGAUCAGGACACCCAAAUGGUGUAGCCGCUAUUAAAGGUU